rnacentral:rRNA from 1 species
CCUACGGGAGGCAGCAGUGGGGAAUAUUGGGCAAUGGGCGCAAGCCUGACCCAGCAACGCCGCGUGAAGGAAGAAUGCUUUCGGGUUUUAAACUUCUUUUCUCAGGGACGAAGCAAGUGACGCUACCUGAGGAAUAAGCCACGUCUAACUACGUGCCAGCAGCCUCGGUAAUACGUAGGUGGCAAGCGUUAUCCGGAUGUACUGGGUGUAAAGGGAGUGUAGGCGGGAAAGCAAGUCAGAUGUGAAAACAAUGGGCUCAACCUGUGAACUGCAUUUGAUACUGUUUUUCUUGAGUACUGGGGAGGCAGACGGAAUUCGUGGUGUAGCGGUGAAAUGCGUAGAUAUUAGGAAGAACACCAGUGGCGAAGGCGGUCUGCUGGACAGCAACUGACGCUGAGGCGCGAAAGUGUGGGGAGCAAACAGGAUUAGAUACCCGGGUAGUC